UGCACUUUGCUGUUUACAGUAUGCAACUUGCUACUAUGAGUUCAGAUUCGGUUAUAUUGUUGCAGACGGUGACAUUUUCUGCUGAAAACCACCAAGAUCAACGGACUAAAGACCCCAAAGAAACCAACUAUCCAAUAGGUGUGGACCAAAGACUCAAAAGAAAGGAAAACAAACACAAAACACAAAGGAGAGGACGAAAGAGGUGUCCGGUGGCUGGCUGUCAAGUCACCGUCAUUCACCUACCUCGUCACCUGCGGCAGGUCCAUGAGUGGGGCAGGGGGAAGGCCCAGUCUGCAGUCAACACAUUCGGUCUCGGUGCACCAAGCAGACAUGGUGACAGCAGCAGCAAGGCUAAAAACAACCAUCACUCCAGGCCUUGCCCCAUGACAGGCUGUCAUGAAGUGGUCAAAAGACUGCCAGCCCACCUGAGAAAGCAACACAAGCUUGAAAAGAACUCUCCUCUAUACAGAGAGCUUCUUACAGCGUCACAGAAGAGAAGGUCAAAUGUCAAUGAAUUAAUUUUAUGAUGUUUACUGUGAAUAAUUAUUCUAGCUGAUGUAUUGAAGUUGAAUGAGAAAUAUGUAAUUGAAUUAGGACAUGAUUGAACAAGACAAUAUUUGGGAAAAGAAUAAAGAAUGCGCUUGAACUGCCACACAGCUCGACUAA